rnacentral:rRNA from 1 species
AGCGAACGCUGGCGGCAGGCCUAACACAUGCAAGUCGAACGAAGUCUUCGGACUUAGUGGCGGACGGGUGAGUAACACGUGGGAACGUACCUUUUGGUUCGGAACAACUCAGGGAAACUUGAGCUAAUACCGGAUGAGCCCUUAGGGGGAAAGAUUUAUCGCCGAAAGAGCGGCCCGCGUUAGAUUAGCUAGUUGGUGAGGUAAAGGCUCACCAAGGCUACGAUCUAUAGCUGGUCUGAGAGGAUGAUCAGCCACACUGGGACUGAGAAACGGCCCAGACUCCUACGGGAGGCAGCAGUGGGGAAUCUUGCGCAAUGGGCGAAAGCCCGACGCAGCCAUGCCGCGUGAAUGAUGAAGGUCUUAGGAUUGUAAAAUUCUUUUACCAGGGACGAUAAUGACGGUACCUGGAGAAAAAGCCCCGGCUAACUUCGUGCCAGCCGCCGCAGUAACAC